CCCCUAGUAACUGCGAGUGAAGCGGGAAAAGCUCAAAUUUAAAAUCUGGCAGAUGUUUGUCUGUCCGAGUUGUAACCUAGAGAAGUGUAACCUGUGCUGGACCGUGUACAAGUCUCUUGGACAUAGAGCAUCAUAGAGGGUGGGAAUCCCGUCUUUGACAUGGACUACCAGUGCAUUGUGGUUGCGCACUCAACGAGUCGAGUUGUUUGGGAAUGCAGCUCUAAAUGGGUGGUAAAUUCCAUCUAAAGCUAAAUAUUGGCGAGAGACCGAUAGCGAACAAGUACCGUGAGGGAAAGAUGAAAAGAACUUUGGAAAGAGAGUUAAACAGUAUGUGAAAUUGUUGAAAGGGAAACGCUUGAAGUCAGCUGCAUUGGCUGGGAAUCAAGCCAGCUUAUUUGCUGGGUGUACUUCCUGGUUGAUGGGCCAACAUCAGUUUUGACCAUCAGAGAAAGGCUAAGGGAAUGUGGCACCUU
rnacentral:rRNA from 1 species